UUGUCGUCAGCUCGUGUCGUGAGAUGUUGGGUUAAGUCCCGCAACGAGCGCAACCCUCGACCUUAGUUGCCAGCAUUCAGUUGGGCACUCUAAGGUGACUGCCGGCUAAAAGUCGGAGGAAGGUGGGGAUGACGUCAAAUCAUCAUGCCCCUUAUGACCUGGGCUACACACGUGCUACAAUGGGCGGUACAAAGGGUCGCGAACCCGCGAGGGGGAGCCAAUCCCAAAAAGCCGCUCUCAGUUCGGAUUGCAGGCUGCAACUCGCCUGCAUGAAGCCGGAAUCGCUAGUAAUCGCGGAUCAGCAUGCCGCGGUGAAUACGUUCCCGGGCCUUGU
rnacentral:rRNA from 1 species